AGCAGCCGCGGUAAUUCCAGCUCCAAUAGCGUAUAUUAAAGUUGUUGCAGUUAAAAAGCUCGUAGUUGAAUUUCGGGAUCAAUUUAUUGGUCGUGCUAUUGUACGUACUGGUAUUAUUGAUUCCUACCUUCUGACGAACCAUGAUGUCAUUAAUUUGGUGUCAUGGGGAAUCAGGACUAGUUACUUUGAAAAAAUUAGAGUGUUUAAAGCAGGCUCACGCUUGAAUACAUUAGCAUGGAAUAACGAAAUAGGACGUUUGAUUCUAUUUUGUUGGUUUCUAGGAUCGACGUAAUGAUUAAUAGGGAUAGUCGGGGGCAUUAGUAUUCAAUUGUCAGAGGUGAAAUUCUUGGAUUUAUUGAAGACUAACUACUGCGAAAGCAUUUGCCAAGGAUGUUUUCAUUAAUCAAGAACGAAAGUUAGGGGAUCGAAGACGAUCAGAUACCGUCGUAG
rnacentral:rRNA from 1 species